ensembl:lncRNA complexin-3-like
GCACACGUCCCAAAUGAUGAGUGAUGCCCACAUCCUGCCCACGCACAUCCCCUCCAAAUUCAAAAAAAUCUAUGUGUUCCUGGGGAGGCUGGCGACUCCAUUAUCAAUGAGGCAUUGAGUCUGCUCCGUGUUUUAGUCUGAACUUUAAAGGAAUGUGUCCAAGGUGCUGAAUCGAAUUGGGGGUUGGAACCCAGCUUUUGUAAGAUUCAGAUUAAAAACCAGAGCAAAUGGACCAUUGCAUCAUGCCCUCAAUGUAGUUGCUUACAUUUUGCCCCUCUUCCCUACGCCUCACGCAUCCGAUUCUUUCUCCUUCCCUUGGCCAGGGACAAACGGGAUGCAGGCUUAGCACGCCGGAAAGCCGAGCGGGCCUCCAUGAGGGCCCAGCUCCGAGAGAAAUACCAGCUGCCUAAGAACUGGAAAGACAAGAAGCAGCUGCAAGCGGCCGGGGUGAAGCCCAAACUCCCGCCAGACCUCCAGGCGAUCGUGAACCCCGCGGCCGCCUCCGAUUCUGGCUCCAUCUUCCCGCGCUGGGUGGCCCUGGAUUUCAGCUCCUUGCGGGCCACUGCGGAAAAUGCGGUGCAGUCGCUCCCAGGUUCCGUGCGCCAGUGUCCGGUUAUGUGAAACAAGUGCUCCUUGUUAAAGAGGAGCACUUGUUAAAGAGGACGUCCGUGAAGGCGGAAAAAAAAUCAAAAAGAGAUACCAAUCAGCAAAAAAGUUGCAUGUGCUUACGUAUUUUUAUGGACACCCUUACCCAUGCAUCUCAUUCAUUUGCAACCAGGGGGUCCAUGUGCCUUCUCAAUCUUCUGUCCAGAUGGGGCUUGACGUGGACGAUGGGCAACAUCUUCUUCCACAUGCAUCUUGCAGGGGAUUGGGGCCGGGGAGGGGUGAAUGGAGAUCUCCCAGCUCCCGUUGUGUUGUUCUAGAACGUUGUCUUAUGGUCAUCACUUAAGAACCCAGAAUGCUCUGUUCCUGUUGAGCCAGAUCAGAGGUCCGUCCGUGGCUGGUCAUCCGGACCCCUUGUAGAAAUCUAAGGAGGUGUAUUUCCUUGACUCUUUUGGGCCCCUCAAGAAAAAAGCAAGAUUUUCAGGAAAAGACCAUCACUCUGGGAAGGCAGCGGGAAAAGAGGAAGGCCAAAUGUGAGAUGGAAGGACUCCCCUAGGAAGCCACAACAAUUGUAUUUAUGAACACAAUAAUAACACAAGCUGUCUGGAUGAGGUGUGUUUUGGACCGGAGGGCAAAUAAAGCAAAAAUUAGAUCUUCA